rnacentral:rRNA from 1 species
UACGUAGGGUGCAAGCGUUGUCCGGAAUUAUUGGGCGUAAAGAGCUCGUAGGCGGCCUGUUGCGUCCGCUGUGAAAGCCCGGGGCUUAACCCCGGGUCGGCAGUGGAUACGGGCAGGCUAGAGGUAGGUAGGGGAGAAUGGAAUUCCUGGUGUAGCGGUGAAAUGCGCAGAUAUCAGGAGGAACACCGGUGGCGAAGGCGGGUCUCUGGGCCGAUACUGACGCUGAGGAGCGAAAGCGUGGGGAGCGAACAGG